GGCACGCACAACUAUUCUCAUAAUUCAAAAUGGUGAAUAGUCUGACCCAUGUGAGGAUGGGCGCCAGUUUUUUGAUAGAACAGGGUUUGUCUCAUGCUUUUGUAGUCUUUAGUUUGGAUCCAAAAAAACAAACCAAACAAAAAAAGAAAGGGUAAGUGAAGUGUGUGUUUUAGCUCUUCUAUGACCAUCCAAAAGCUUCAUGGAAAAAUGAUUGAAAAAACCCUCAAUUUACAAAGGGUUUCACUGCUGAGAGACAGAGAACAGCAAAAAGGUACAUUGGAGGACAAGGACUAAGCAGCAGCUGCUUUUGUGGGUCUGUCUUUCCGGGACUUAGACUGCAGGACCCAGGCUCCACAGGAUCCCCCAUCCAGAGUUACCUCCUCAAGCACAGGGCAGCUGCAACCAUUCUUCAAAGGAACUGAUCAGAGCUCGCUGCUCUCUUUUGAAGGGUCUGCUUCCCUCCAAUUCUUUAUGGAGACUGUAAAGGUGGAUGCUGUGCUUGGGAGUUUGAGACUUUCCUUACAGAAACACCCUGUGGCCUGACUCCUUUCUUGGGGAAAAAUGUCACUGGAUUUGCAAGCUGAACGGAAAGCUCUUGUAGCAGUGAUGCAAAGCGAUGCCAUAACUUCUCCUGAAACAAGCUGAAGAUUUUUAGGGAACUUUUUAGGGUUUUUUUUGUUGUUUUUUCUUUAAAGCAGGAGAGAAUAAUUUAAAACAGUCUGGCAAAAGGAUGUUAUCAAGGUAUUUCUUAAGGUUUCCAAGGCAGGAAAUACCUAUGGGACCAUUCAAGACAGGGAUCUCUUUAAAAUACUUUCUGUGGACUACUGUAUAUCAGGGAAAGAAAAGCAAAGCAGUAACCAGGAACUGAGUUUUGUUUUCACCAUCCUCAUCUUCAUAAUCACUAAAGAACAUCAGAUUGCACCUAAGCAAUCUACCUAAAUCAUGCAAAGGGGAUCCAGCUCAUGCUGCAGAUGACUGGUGGUGCUGAAAGUCACAGCUGAAACUGCACCUUGCCCACCAGAGGCAGAGUGAAGAUGGAUCAUCUCUGGUGGCAGCAGGGAAGCUGUAGUGAUGCGGUGAUGGGCUGUGACUCCGUGGUUCAUUAGAGAACAGCUGGAUGAAGACACUUUCCAGUGAGGGGAGGCAGCAGCUCUUGGUUUUCCCCCUCCCCAGCAAAGGGAAGUGGCUGCAAACCCAGGUAGGACAGGGACAGCACCUCUGCAACAGACUCUGAUCUUCCCUGUGGACUUGCUCACUUGGAGAGACAUCAAAGUAGGCUUAACUUUCUGCUGCAGCAGAGAGAAGUCAGACUUCCAAAUCACAAGUUAUCUUUUAUUAAAAACGUAAUAUUCCUUGUGGCUGGUGCUGAUGUACCCAUGAUCAUCCUCAUAGGCACAUAUUAUGUUUCCACCCUGAGACCAGGAGACAUGAUGUAUGCACUCAGUCUGGAAAGUAUUGCAUAUAUAGCAUGUGACAGAAAUUAUGCCAGUACCUCAUUACACAUGGUUCUCCUACAGCUAUCCAGAACAAACUACUUUAAAAACACCACAAAACCCAAACUAUGUAUACUCCUGUAUUGUUUUCCCUCACAUUUUCCUGCAGUUUCUUUACGGUUUUGAUAAACUCUUCGUGUUUUGAGAGUAGUACUGUAUCAUGGGUUAAAGUCUUUGUGUGAGAAGCUAAGUGCUUUAAGGCUGGCUGUGAGGCUCAGAAAGAAGGCUGUAAUGAGAGGCUUGGGGUACAUCUUAGUUAUGGGAAUCACAAAAUUCUUGCCUGUGUCUGCUGGAGAAGAGUUCUCAAGGGCAUGGAUGCAAUAAUAUUGGGGAACUGCCAACAGCAUAACUCUGACUUAGAGAUGUGAAUGUUUGCUUAAACUUUCUCCAAGGGAGGAAAUAGUGCUCAAAACUACACAUAGCUUAUUUCCAUGCUUUUUUGUCAAGAAUGGAAUUUUCCUAGGAUAGGAAAUUGAACAUAACAGCUGUUUGUGUAAAUUAGUUAAUACAGGUUUUUUUUUUAAAAAAAUCAACACUUUUAGAAAAUCAUAAUAUGGAUUUAAUAGACAGUUGUUGAAGGAAGCAUGAGUAUGGCAACAUUAGCUAUAUUCAAGCUGCUUGAAGGCUGGAGGCUUUUUCCUAUUUUUUUUCUUUCUUUUUUUUUUUUUUCUAUCUCAUAAAUCUUACUGCUUGAAUAGGUGAUACACAGAGUGUUACAAUGUCACUUCAAUUCUUUAGAUGAAAGUUAACAAAUCCUACAUGCUGAAGCAAUGUGAAACCAUAAUUCAACAGAAGUCAGGUGGCUGUUAUUUGUGUACUCUAGCAUGAGUGCUGGUAACUGUGCAGUGAUGGAAGAUCAAAGCAAAACAAACAAAACCUUACAAUACCUCUGUGCUUCCCCAAAACAAAACAACAGUAAUUAAUGUUGGAUAAAACACUUUUGGCUGUAAGCUGCUGAAUAUUACUCACAGAAUAUAUUAUCCUCCCAAAGUAGCUGUUAUUCAUUAAAUAAAUUAUUCAAGAAUAGUCUUUUGCAGUAUUUGACCAUCUCUCUAUUUGGUUGAAUGCCAACUCAUUGAACAAAUUGUUCAAAAGAUAACAGCUUGAUUCAUGUAUAAUGUAUUUGAAAAGCUUCUUUUCUGGUUCUUACCAUCUCUGUAGAGACUAAGUAAUAUCCCGUACAUUUAUUAAUAAUUUGUCAUAUGGCUGGCAAAAGUGAAUAAAGGCACCAAUAAGGGACAGGAUCUAACUUAUCCUGAGGUCAGUCAGAGUUUUGCCAUUGACUUUAAGUAGAUCCAGAAUUUCUCCUGAGGUGUUUAAAUGAUGACUUUGAAUUGUGAUGCACAUUGUUAGUGUAUUUAAGUUUGUCUAUAAGGAACUGAUUCUAUUCUAAUAUCCUACAGUGACGACAAUGUGCCAUAACCUUUUGGUACAAACUUUCUAUAGAUGACUGAUGUAGGAAUAGAAUAAUUAUCCAACAUGGACAGAACUGUUUGUGUUAGUUACCUCUUUUAAGAGUCACUCUUUGAGCUUAUAUCAAUCUGUAAAUCACAGGAAGUACGGAAAUCGCGGUGGUGAUGUUGAUAUAUUUUGGCAAUAAAUAUACAAAUAAAAAAA